CUAUGGUCUGAAAGAUGACUAUGGCAAAAGGAG
rnacentral:ncRNA from 1 species